rfam:Ruminococcus gnavus CAG:126 genomic scaffold, scf42
ACACUAAACUCAGGAGAGUCUCUGAAAAAAGAGCGCCGAAGGUGUAAUCAGCAGACGCAUAAUCUGGAUGCGGUUUUGCUGAGAAUCUCUCAGGCAAAAGGAUGGAGGAAAGAAA